rnacentral:rRNA from 1 species
CACUCCUGCGGGAGGCAGCAGUGGGGAAUCUUGCGCAAUGGGCGAAAGCCUGACGCAGCCAUGCCGCGUGAAUGAUGAAGGUCUUAGGAUUGUAAAAUUCUUUCACCGGGGACGAUAAUGACGGUACCCGGAGAAGAAGCCCCGGCUAACUUCGUGCCAGCAGCCGCGGUAAUACGAAGGGGGCUAGCGUUGCUCGGAAUUACUGGGCGUAAAGGGAGCGUAGGCGGACAUUUAAGUCAGGGGUGAAAUCCCGGGGCUCAACCUCGGAAUUGCCUUUGAUACUGGGUGUCUUGAGUAUGAGAGAGGUGUGUGGAACUCCGAGUGUAGAGGUGAAAUUCGUAGAUAUUCGGAAGAACACCAGUGGCGAAGGCGACACACUGGCUCAUUACUGACGCUGAGGCUCGAAAGCGUGGGGAGCAAACAGGAUUAGAAACCCCAGUAGUCCCAUG